rnacentral:rRNA from 1 species
UACGAGGGGGGCAAGCGUUGUUCGGAAUUAUUGGGCGUAAAGGGUGCGUAGGCGGCUUUUUAAGUUUGGUGUGAAAUCUCCCGGCUCAACUGGGAGGGUGCGCCGAAUACUGAGAGGCUAGAGUGUGGGAGAGGAAAGUGGAAUUCCUGGUGUAGCGGUGAAAUGCGUAGAUAUCAGGAGGAACACCGGUGGUGUAAACGGCUUUCUGGACCAUAACUGACGCUGAGGCACGAAAGCGUGGGUAGCAAACAGG